rnacentral:rRNA from 1 species
GUUUGAUCAUGGCUCAGAUUGAACGCUGGCGGCAGGCCUAACACAUGCAAGUCGAACGGUAACAGGAUAGCUUGCUAUCGCUGACGAGUGGCGGACGGGUGAGUAAUACUUAGGGAUCUGCCUCUGUGUGGGGGAUAACUAUUGGAAACGAUAGCUAAUACCGCAUAAUGUCUACGGACCAAAGCGGGCUUCGGCUCGUGCGCAGAGAGGAACCUAAGCGAGAUUAGCUAGUUGGUGAGGUAAAGGCUCACCAAGGCGACGAUCUCUAGCUGUUCUGAGAGGAAGAUCAGCCACACUGGAACUGAGACACGGUCCAGACUCCUACGGGAGGCAGCAGUGGGGAAUAUUGCACAAUGGGGGAAACCCUGAUGCAGCCAUGCCGCGUGUGUGAAGAAGGCCUUCGGGUUGUAAAGCACUUUCAGUCAGGAGGAAAGGUUAGUAGUUAAUACCUGCUAGCUGUGACGUUACUGACAGAAGAAGCACCGGCUAACUCCGUGCCAGCAGCCGCGGUAAUACGGAGGGUGCGAGCGUUAAUCGGAAUUACUGGGCGUAAAGCGCACGCAGGCGGUCUGUUAAGCUAGAUGUGAAAGCCCCGGGCUCAACCCGGGAACUGCAUUUGAAACUGGCAGGCUUGAGUCUCGUAGAGGGGGGUAGAAUUCCAGGUGUAGCGGUGAAAUGCGUAGAGAUCUGGAGGAACAUCAAUGGCGAAGGCAACUCCCUGGCCAAAGACUGACGCUCAUGUGCGAAAGUGUGGGUAGCGAACAGGAUUAGAUACCCUGGUAGUCCACACCGUAAACGCUGUCUACUAGCUGUUUGUGAAUUUAAUUCGUGAGUAGCGAAGCUAACGCGAUAAGUAGACCGCCUGGGGAGUACGGCCGCAAGGUUAAAACUCAAAUGAAUUGACGGGGGCCCGCACAAGCGGUGGAGCAUGUGGUUUAAUUCGAUGCAACGCGAAGAACCUUACCUACUCUUGACAUACUAGAAACUUUUCAGAGAUGAAUUGGUGCCUUCGGGAAUCUAGAUACAGGUGCUGCAUGGCUGUCGUCAGCUCGUGUCGUGAGAUGUUGGGUUAAGUCCC